UACGGAAGGCAGCAGUGGGGAAUAUUGUACAAUGGGCGCAAGCCUGAUGCAGCCAUGCCGCGUGUAUGAAAAAGGCCUUCGGGUUGUAAAGUACUUUCAGUCGUGAGGAAGGUGUUAAGGUUAAUAACCUUAGCAAUUGACGUUAGCGACAGAAGAAGCACCGGCUAACUCCGUGCCAGCAGCCGCGGUAAUACGGAGGGUGCGAGCGUUAAUCGGAAUUACUGGGCGUAAAGGGCACGCAGGCGGUUAAUUAAGUUGGAUGUGAAAUCCCCGGGCUUAACCUGGGAAUGGCAUUCAAGACUGGUUAGCUAGAGUCUUGUAGAGGGGGGUUAGAAUUCCAUGUGUAGCGGUUGAAAUGCGUAGAGAUGUGGAGGAAUACCGGUGGCGAAAGGCGGCCCCUGGACAAAGACUGACGCUCAUGUGCGAAAGCGUGGGGAGCAAACAGGGAUUAGAUACCCGU
rnacentral:rRNA from 1 species